rnacentral:lncRNA from 1 species
UUAAUAAUGUACAAGUGACAGCCAUCAGGGGAGUGGGUUUCAGCAGAUACCAGGAAAUUUGAAACUUUGAAGAACUGGCCUGAGUUUGAUCGGCUUGGCUGUGCUGAGGGGGUGGCAGGGAGGAGGGCAUCACGUGGCUGUGUGCAGAUUUCAGUGCAAGGACUAACCCAGCCCCAGAGAAUGUCAAGUGCUUCUUGUCUUUGGUAUCUGAGCAGCUGAUUCUGAUCUGCAAUUAACAGCUGAGAAAGAGAGCACGGCACUGCUUCACUGGUAGUUAUCUUCUGUGGAUGAUCUAUUCUGGGAAUUGAAGCCCAAACCCAAAUGCUACAGAACAGAGCCACUUUGGCUUCAGAGGUCUUUGAAUAGGAGAUGGACAUUUUCUGGAUGCCUUUCACAGCCCAGCAUCUUUCCCUAAACUCCUAAUGCUCUUACAAGAUCAGAAAAAGCCAGCAUUUGGCCAACAGGGAAAGGAUUUACAAGAAAACAGGACUUGGAGGACUGGGAGAAGGCAGCAAAAUGCUUCUGCUCCGGUGAUCAGGGACGAUGUGGUGGCCACAGAUGUCAACUGAGAGUUGUUUUAUAAAAUGAAUCUCUGUAAGCUGCUGCUCUACGGGGAU